rnacentral:rRNA from 1 species
AUUGAACGCUGGCGGCAGGCCUAACACAUGCAAGUCGAACGAGUGGCGGACGGGUGAGUAAUGUCUGGGAACCUGCCCGAUGGAGGGGGAUAACUACUGGAAACGGUAGCUAAUACCGCAUACCAUCGGAUGUGCCCAGAUGGGAUUAGCUAGUAGGUGGGGUAACGGCUCACCUAGGCGACGAUCCCUAGCUGGUCUGAGAGGAUGACGAGGCAAACUGGAACUGAGCCACGGUCCAGAUCCCUACGGUAGGCAGCAGUGGGGAAGAUUGCACAAGGGGGGAAAGCCUGAUGCAGCCAUGCCGCGUGUAUGAAGAAGGACUUCGGGUUGUAAAGUACUUUCAGCGAGGAGGCGUGACUCGCAGAAGAAGCACCGGCUAACUCCGUGACAGCCGCCGCGGUAAUUC